AUUGAACGCUGGCGGCAUGCCUUACACAUGCAAGUCGAACGGCAGCACGGGUGCUUGCACCUGGUGGCGAGUGGCGAACGGGUGAGUAAUACAUCGGAACAUGUCCUGUAGUGGGGGAUAGCCCGGCGAAAGCCGGAUUAAUACCGCAUACGAUCUACGGAUGAAAGCGGGGGACCUUCGGGCCUCGCGCUAUAGGGUUGGCCGAUGGCUGAUUAGCUAGUUGGUGGGGUAAAGGCCUACCAAGGCGACGAUCAGUAGCUGGUCUGAGAGGACGACCAGCCACACUGGGACUGAGACACGGCCCAGACUCCUACGGGAGGCAGCAGUGGGGAAUUUUGGACAAUGGGCGAAAGCCUGAUCCAGCAAUGCCGAGUGUGUGAAGAAGGCCUUCGGGUUGUAAAGCACUUUUGUCCGGAAAGAAAUCCUUGGCCCUAAUACGGUCGGGGGAUGACGGUACCGGAAGAAUAAGCACCGGCUAACUACGUG
rnacentral:rRNA from 1 species